GCCAGGUUGGACAGAGCCUUCGGUGCCAUGGUUUAGUGUGAGGUGUCCCUGCCCAUGGUAGGGGGGUUGGAACUGGAUGAUCUUAAGGUCCUUUCCAGCCUGAGCUAUUCUGUGACUCUAUGAAGGGUCCCUCUCAGUCAUAAAGGCUGUGUUAGCAUCAGAAACUUCUGUUACCAAGCAGUACAGCAUUAAAAACAGUUAUUCAAAGGGUGAUUUUCUUCUUGUGCAGUGAGAACUUAGCUCUAAUUGUGCUUUGUGGAGUCUCUGUUUGGUGUCCUGUGCAUACAUUGCUUUGUAUGCUCAUUGUCUCGUUUAAAACCCACAUCCAGGCACUUCUGGGGGGACUUGGAGGAACACUUCCUCAUCCUAUAACUGGAAAAGACAUCGUAAAUCACACAAAGGAGAUGCCUCUGGAACAAGAUCACCUGCAAACUAUCCAGACCCGUUUUACGAUCCUGAAUACUGGGAGCUAGAUGAUGAGGGAUACUUCUGCAGCAACUGCCUACGUACGAGUAAUUCACCUUUGGAAUGUCCAACCUGUUCCUUCAACUGCUGCGAAAACUGCUGGGAUCGUUUCUUCCAGCUGGCAAGGAGGUGCCCAUGGUGCUGCUUUUUUCUGAGGAAGAGGAAAUUGGUCCUUCCCUGAAAUUGGGCCCUCAUUUCCCUGAAAGGGCAAGUACUUGGUAUCAGCAAGGAGAGAUCAGUGCACUCAGGCUGAACAGAAGCCAGAGGGAGCUUCAUUUAGAUCUCUUCGAUCCUUGCUGUGCACCAACAUGUGCCAUUUCCUCCUGCAAAGGUGAUGGAGUCUGAAAGGUCUCUCCACAACCACUGGCAGGAGACGGAAGCCAAAGGUUGUUCCCUGUUGGAACGAAGAAGGUUCAGUUCUUUAUUUGGGGUUGUAAGUGUUCCUGUGGCCAUGUUAAGUUGAAGUUUUAUGCCCCAGAGGUGGUUGUUAUUCAUGGGCCAUGCAGAUAAUCCCAGCUCCUGGAAAAUCCCUGAGCAGCAGCACUGGGAUGGAAUAGAGAUGGCACAUGGGGAGGCCAAACCAUCCCAUCACCACAGUGGUGUUCCUGGAAGAAGUGAGUCACGUUCACCAUUUGGUGUUUGGCAGCAGCUGCUGUCUCCAUAGCAGAAGAUAGCGAAGGGGUGAUUGUUUUACACACAAUGCAGUGCUGGAUAAUGACCAGAACCACCCCCCUUGCCUCUGCUGUGCUCACCAAAGCCCAAACUCCUUCCACCAUGCUGGGAGUUCUGAAACGUGCCUCUAAAGAGGCUUUAUUUCCUGCUCGGGGCUGGUAUUUCCAUUGUGUUAUGUUAGCUGAUGUUUAAUUCCCAAGGAGGAAAAGGAGCAAACCAGUUUUGGACUUUCAAGUAACUGAAGUUAAAUGGGUUGAAAGAAAGGUCCUUAAAUAGCUCCUCUCUGAGUUGUUGAGUACAAGGGGUCAACGUGAGCUUUUGUAUGACCUCAACGUUCAGUUGCUGCUGUAAAUCGAACUCUAAAUAAACCAUUUUUGUUGGUUUUUGUUCUAUUUAAA
rnacentral:lncRNA from 14 species